rnacentral:snoRNA from 1 species
AAGUAAAGAUUGAAGCUCUCCAUAGUAUGCUUUAGUCAUUCAGUAGUCUAUGCUUUCCUAAGGAGAUGUAAGA